GAUCAUGGCUCAGGAUGAACGCUAGCGGCAGGCUUAACACAUGCAAGUCGAGGGGUAUAGUAGCAAUACUAGAGACCGGCGCACGGGUGCGUAACGCGUAUGCAAUCUACCUUUUGCAGAGGGAUAGCCCAGAGAAAUUUGGAUUAAUACCUCAUAGUAUAGAACAAUCGCAUGAUUGAGCUAUUAAAGUCACAACGGCAAAAGAUGAGCAUGCGUCCCAUUAGUUAGUUGGUAAGGUAACGGCUUACCAAGACUACGAUGGGUAGGGGUCCUGAGAGGGAGAUCCCCCACACUGGUACUGAGACACGGACCAGACUCCUACGGGAGGCAGCAGUGGGGAAUUUUGGACAAUGGGCGCAAGCCUGAUCCAGCAAUGCCGCGUGCAGGAAGAAGGCCUUCGGGUUGUAAACUGCUUUUGUACGGAACGAAACGGCUCUGGUUAAUACCUGGGGCUAAUGACGGUACCGUAAGAAUAAGCACCGGCUAACUACGUG
rnacentral:rRNA from 1 species